AGUGAACGCUGGCGGUAGGCCUAACACAUGCAAGUCGAACGGCAGCACAGUAAGAGCUUGCUCUUACGGGUGGCGAGUGGCGGACGGGUGAGGAAUACAUCGGAAUCUACUUUUUCGUGGGGGAUAACGUAGGGAAACUUACGCUAAUACCGCAUACGACCUACGGGUGAAAGCAGGGGAUCUUCGGACCUUGCGCGAUUGAAUGAGCCGAUGUCGGAUUAGCUAGUUGGCGGGGUAAAGACCCACCAAGGCGACGAUCCGUAGCUGGUCUGAGAGGAUGAUCAGCCACACUGGAGCUGAGACACGGUCCAGACUCCUACGGGAGGCAGCAGUGGGGAAUAUUGGACAAUGGGCGCAAGCCUGAUCCAGCCAUACCGCGUGGGUGAAGAAGGCCUUCGGGUUGUAAAGCCCUUUUGUUGGGAAAGAAAAGCAGCAGGUUAAUACCCCGCUGUUCUGACGGUACCCAAAGAAUAAGCACCGGCUAACUUCGUG
rnacentral:rRNA from 1 species